GCGGCCACGGCCACGGCCACGGCCACUCACGCACGCACACACACUCGCACACCCCCUGCGCAGGCACCUGGCUGCCCAGAGCUUGGCUGGUAACUUGUUGUGCGGAGCGAGCGAGCGGGCGGCGGCGGCGGCGGCGGCGGCAACGGCACCAUCCAGGCGGGCACCAUGGGCACGUCCGCGCGCUGGGCGCUCUGGCUGCUGCUCGCGCUGUGCUGGGCGCCCCGGGAAAGCCGCGCCACCGGAGCGGG